CAGCCGCCGCGGUAAUACGAAGGGUGCAAGCAUUAAUCGGAAUUACUGGGCGUAAAGCGUGCGUAGGCGGUUUGUUAAGUCUGUUGUGAAAUCCCCGGGCUCAACCUGGGAAUGGCAAUGGAUACUGGCAAGCUAGAGUGUGUCAGAGGAUGGUGGAAUUCCCGGUGUAGCGGUGAAAUGCGUAGAGAUCGGGAGGAACAUCAGUGGCGAAGGCGACUAUCUGGGCCAACACUGACACUGAGACACGAAAGCGUGGGGAGCAAACAGGAUUAGAUACCCCUGUAGUCCCUGUCUCUUAUAC
rnacentral:rRNA from 1 species